AACGAACGCUGGCGGCAUGCCUAACACAUGCAAGUCGAACGAAGCCUUCGGGCUUAGUGGCGCACGGGUGCGUAACGCGUGGGAAUCUGCCUCUUGCUUCGGAAUAACAGUUAGAAAUGACUGCUAAUACCGGAUGAUGUCUUCGGACCAAAGAUUUAUCGGCAAGAGAUGAGCCCGCGUAGGAUUAGGUAGUUGGUGGGGUAAAGGCCUACCAAGCCGACGAUCCUUAGCUGGUCUGAGAGGAUGAUCAGCCACACUGGGACUGAGACACGGCCCUGACUCCUACGGGAGGCAGCAGUGGGGAAUAUUGGACAAUGGACGCAAGUCUGAUCCAGCAAUGCCGCGUGAGUGAUGAGGGCCUUAGGGUUGUAAAGCUCUUUUACCACGGAUGAUAAUGACAGUACCUGGAGAAUAAGCUCCGGCUAACUCCGUGCCAGCCGCCGCAGUAAUAC
rnacentral:rRNA from 1 species